UAAUUUAUAUGGCCUUAUUCGAAGUAGCACUUGCCUCUCCCUAACGAAGACUGAUUACAAGAAACAUUCUUAAACUGUCAAUCAACAGCUGUAUUCCUUCAACAUUACGCAUGUUUAUUUGUACCUCUUUCAACAACUAGCAACAGCUGACCAUUUAACGUCUCUAAUGUGGCAAGUGCUGUACUAUUCGAAUCAAAAUGACUUAUUACGUACAAUGAGCAUGAAUGAAAUGAAGAGGGCAUUUAAAUUACAAAUAAGGCUUGUCGAGGCGGCGAGAGAGAAUUUCUGUUUCAGUUCCGAAACAGAUUAUCCCGGAUACCCUGUUAAUUUAUUGCUGUAACAAGAGCAAUCGCACGACCAGAGACUCCUAAUUUGAACAUGAAAUAGUAUAAUGUAAUGAGAAGUAUGACUUACCCCAGCAUAACCAGUCUGAAGCAGUUUUUUGGUGGAGGUGCCGAGUCCUCACAACCUUGGGGCAAUGAGCUAGGUCCUGGGGAA